rnacentral:rRNA from 1 species
UGGCAGCAGUAGGGAAUUUUCGGCAAUGGGGGCAACCCUGACCGAGCAACGCCGCGUGAAUGACGAAGUACUUCGGUAUGUAAAGUUCUUUUAUUGGGGAAGAAUGGCUAGCGGAAAAGCUAGAUUGACGGUACCUGAUGAAUAAGCCCCGGCUAACUAUGUGCCAGCAGCCGCGGUAAUACAUAGGGGGCAAGCGUUAUCCGGAAUUAUUGGGCGUAAAGGGUGCGUAGGUGGUAAGAUAAGUCUUAGGUGUAAGUGCAGAGCUUAACUCUGUGAUGCUAAAGAAACUGUCUGACUUGAGUGUGGUAGAGGCAAGUGGAAUUCCAUGUGUAGCGGUAAAAUGCGUAAAUAUAUGGAGGAACACCAGUGGCGAAGGCGGCUUGCUGGGCCAUAACUGACACUGAGGCACGAAAGCGUGGGGAGCAAACAGGAUUAGAUACCCCGGUAGUC